rnacentral:rRNA from 1 species
GACGAACGCUGGCGGCGUGCUUAACACAUGCAAGUCACGGGGGCCCGCAAGGGUAACCGGCGAACGGGUGCGUAACACGUGAGCGACCUGCCUUUCCGCGGGGGAUAGCCGGCCCAACGGCCGGGUAAUACCGCAUACGCUGCUCGAGGGGCAUCCCUUGAGUAGGAAACCUCCGGGGCGGAGAGAGGGGCUCGCGACCUAUCAGCUAGUUGGCGAGGUAACGGCUCACCAAGGCGGCGACGGGUAGCUGGCUGAGAGGAUGGCCAGCCACAUUGGGACUGAGAUACGGCCCAGACUCCUACGGGAGGCAGCAGUGGGGAAUAUUGCGCAAUGGCCUAACGGCUGACGCAGCGACGCCGCGUGUGGGAGGACGCCCCUCGGGUGUAAACCACUGUUGCCCGGAGUGAACAUCCUGAUUCUUCAGGACUGACGGGUACCGGGUGAGGAAGCACCGGCUAACUCCGUGCCAGCCGCCGCAGUAAC